ACUCGUUAAAAUUAUUCCUGUAUCUCCACUGUGGUGAGGCCUGUGGUAAGCAACAUCUCCUGAAGUGCCACCUGCCUUGUUUGAGAGUCAAAAAACGCUGUCUUCUUAAUAGGCUCCUGGAGUUCAGAUUUUUCAUUAAUGUAAAUGGGCCCUCCCUGUGUUGCCCUUUAUUCUGAGUUACUGAGGCUUCACUUGCCGGUUCCCAGCACUGGGCACUCCGGGAGGACUUGGUAAUUAACUGAAAGGCUUGCUUCAGCGGGUGGCGUCAGAGCAGAAUUAAUGGCGCUGCGCACUGUAGGUGGCCUGGUGGCGGGGGUAGGGGUGCAUGGGAAGAGGUGUUUGCUGUUGCUUGUAACUCACCCCUCCUUCCACUGGGAGCCUCUUCCUGUAUCCCCCCCUGUCUCAAGGCCCACUGUGCCCUGCCUGCUCUGUCCAUCACCCUCGCUGUCUAUGCAGCUUGGGACAUGUCCCAUGCACCUGCUCCUCCUGCAAUGCUGCUCCUGCUGUUUCUGGGACUGGCUUUUUGCCCUCAGGCUCCUGAGCUAUUGUAGGUUCUAGAAGCCUCUGCUGACCUCAGGCACUCCUCUGCUCAAGAACCUGCUCUGUCUCCCUAGCAUGUGUUCCUCAAGUCUGAAUUAUUCCACUCCCGUAACACUCUGCUAUUCUUCAACAGGCAUACUCUACCACCUUCCGCUGGGCCCAGGCCUCCCCCUUGGCACAGUUGGAGCAGCCUCUGUUAUGAAAAAUAAACUGAGGCUCAGAGGCACUGAAGAGCAUGCCUGAGGAAACCAGGCGACAAAGGCCAAGCUGGGAGGAGAGCCUCGCUUCCAGGUAUCCCCUGGGUUCCACGGACUCCCGUGCACGUGUGUCCAAGUGAGGGGCAGUGGCUGUCACUAUCACGUGCGCUGCCGGCGGCUGCCGGGCAGAUUUCUCUUCUGGGUUUGAAAUAACCGGAGGCGAUCUUAAGAACCUACUGACGACCCGCAGCUCGGGAAGAAAUCAUUUUCCAUUCUGCAUCUAGCAUCAGCAUUUCACAUCCAGAUGCAGGAAGUCUUCGUGGAAUUUUACAUACAUUGCUUGGUUUGCUUCCAAGAACUCAUGAUUUUGCCUUCUGGUUUACUCUCCUUACUGCUUCAGGCUUGCAGCGAUAGGAACCCAUUUCUCCCUUGGGUUGCUGUGGCAGCGUGACGGUAAUGCAGAUUCAGGAGAUUGCAGUAUGAGGUUCAAGUGUGGGCUGCGUUCAGAUGGGGUCCCUUGACCUGCCUCAUCCUGUUUCCUUACCAUAGUGCUUCCCAUGUACUGUAGCAUUUUUUUCUUUUUAAAAUGAUUUAUAUUAUAUUAUUUUAUUUUUUUUAAUGUUUAUUUAUUUUUG
rnacentral:lncRNA from 1 species